rnacentral:sRNA from 1 species
AGACUUUAUGCUAAGUUGUUCUACGAUCCCAUCUUCGGACAUUUUUUCGAUGCUGGGAACGCUAAGCGAGUUGUGGUGUUUAUCGGAUUUUAACCAACCCUGUUGAUAGCAACAGAGCAAGCUGAGGCAUUGCUGUGAAUGACUGGCAGAUUUGCGCAAGCUGGUUAGCAUUUGCAUGUAGACUAUGUCGCGUAACAGAUACGGAAACAUAUCCAAGGCCUUGAUGAGGCAGAAGGCAGCUGCGGAGCCUUUUCACAUUCCGUCUCUGUAUGUAUGGAUUGGAACUGGUUGCCGAAUGAUGAGACAGUUGUGGACUGGAUGUUGUGUUGUGCUUUCAACUAGCAUGCUACGUAGCUGAAGGUGAAGUGAGC